UGAGCCCAGGAGGUCAAGGCUUCAGUGAGCCAUGAUUGCACCACUGCACUCCAGCCUGGGCGACAGAAUAAGAUCCUGUCAAAAAAACAAACACUACUCUUGAAACAAAUCAGGCAGGGAGCCACCGUGGAAUUUUCCCACUUGGGAGGCGUAGGGCACAAUUAGUCCACCACCAUCAGGCCAAAGUCAGGUAAUCACCAACCAGACCUCCGGAAGGGCAAAUCUCCUAGAUAGCCUCUGGAAGAGGAUCCACAGACCUGCACGCUGCACCCCGCACCACGCCCACAUGCCUCUCACACCAAGCUUCCCUUUAAAACUCCUACGGUGAAUUUUAAAAUGUAAGAUGGUACACUAGCUCACCCUCCUCUUGGUUUUCUGACUUUCCAAUUAAACCUGCUUUUCCUCCCACCAACCCUCACCCCUUGUGUUCUGGCUUUUAAGUGGUGAGCAGCUGAACCUGGGUCUGGUUACAUGGCCACAUCAUUACCUAUGCGUGCGCGUGUUCGAGUGGGCAGAAUUAUAUGGUGACAUCUGAAUGGGGGAGGGAUCUGUCCUCAGAACUCAUUUCCUCUGUGUCUACAGUCCCCACUGACCCUGGGAGAGACAUCAGAUCAUAGGACAAUUUACGACGUGACAGGCUGUGUGCAGGAGAACAGAGCCUCAAUUCUUCAAGACACCUGGAAUCUCCCUCCAGCCCAGGGCCUGCCUGACCCAUGCUGGGUGAUUCACAGAAUGAAAGAAGAGACAUGUGAGAUCUGUAUGGCUUUGGAUUCAGUUCCAAAGUUUGCCUCCUGGACUCAGAAACUGGCCAUUGGUCUGAAUUAGACUCUGAGAGCUGGCAGGUCACUGAGCCUUCCUUCACUUUGUAGAUGAUGAAAAGAAAAAUUGGGAGUUCAAUAAAACCGGGACUAAAA